GCAGGCAAGUUAAGGGUAAGUAACAAAAUGAGGUUCCCUGAAAAUAAAAUCAACCCUUUGAAAGUGCAGGGUCAUGAGUAUUCCAAACAAUAAUAUACAAAAAUAAAUUGAAAAUCACAGAUAUAUUUCCUCAAAAUCAUCAUUAGAAAUGUAUCACCCACACAUUUAAAAUAUCUGUAUUAAAGAUUUUCAUGGUUAGAUCUGCACUGGGUGCUUUAAAAGCAAAUUCUGUCUCUAGUUUGAAGCAGAUUGACUGGCUAUGCUUUCUUAGUUGUUGCAUGGAUUUGUUUGAGAUCAAACUUUUUCUCCAAACAGCUGAAUAUGAUUCAAAUAUCUCUGGUUCAAUAAAUUUUUGAGUUAAAAUUUGGAGUAUAUUUCGCACUUCAACAUGCUGAGAUAGGAAACCCAAAUUGCUUGUAAUGGUAUAAAUGUUUCCAUAGUAGGAAAUGAUGGAAUAAAUUAAGUUCUUAACAUUCAUGCUUUUGUAAUAAAUUCAGUAAUAACCUUUUCGAUCAUUGGCACAGUCUAUGUUUUGUAAACUUAAUCUAAUCAGCUGAUUUGGAUAUUUCAUCAGAAGAAAUUUUGGUUGAUAGGUUCAUAACUUUUACAGCUUGUUCAAUGAAAACUGAUUGGAUUUUGCAUAUCUCGUAGUUUUUCCUGACUCUGAUCAAAGUCAUGUUAAUGAUAGUCCUUCCAACCCAAAGGACUUUGAAUAAAACAAUUCUCUACCAAGGCAGCAGAAUCACACCCCAUUCCAACUCAAUUCUUUUUUGGCUGGUUAUCUGUGAAGUUUCUUUCCUCUUUCGUGAUCCACUUUGUUUCUAUCUCUAGGAUAAGAAAGAAUUUCUCUAAAAAACUGCUGCACUAACGAUUUUAACUCUUUUUUUUUUUGAGACUAAAAUAUGAAGCAGAUCACACGGUACAGUGUGGUAAGAGUCCUAACAGCAGUAGGCACCUUUUAUCCAAUUUCCCUUAUAAUCAGCACGUGGGUUGUUUCAGACAGCUGGUUGGGCUGAGGCACUUUCAGAGACCAUAGAAUACAGCAAAGUCUCCUUAUCCACAGAUAAUUCUAUGCCAUGCCAACAUAAAGCCUUCUCAGCAAUCCUUAACAGCCACAGGGAGGCUGGCAUGGCUGACUUCAAUCUAGAGGACUCCCAAACAAAUAUUGGUCUUCCUCGCU
rnacentral:lncRNA from 1 species